GAUGAACGCUGGCGGCGUGCCUAAUACAUGCAAGUCGAGCGAACAGACGAGGAGCUUGCUCCUCUGACGUUAGCGGCGGACGGGUGAGUAACACGUGGAUAACCUACCUAUAAGACUGGGAUAACUUCGGGAAACCGGAGCUAAUACCGGAUAAUAUAUUGAACCGCAUGGUUCAAUAGUGAAAGACGGUUUUGCUGUCACUUAUAGAUGGAUCCGCGCCGCAUUAGCUAGUUGGUAAGGAAACGGCUUACCAAGGCAACGAUGCGUAGCCGACCUGAGAGGUUGAUCGGCCACACUGGAACUGAGACACGGUCCAGACUCCUACGGGAGGCAGCAGUAGGGAAUCUUCCGCAAUGGGCGAAAGCUUGACGGAGCAACGCCGCGUGAGUGAUGAAGGUCUUCGGAUCGUAAAACUCUGUUAUUAGGGAAGAACAAAUGUGUAAGUAACUAUGCACGUCUUGACGGUACCUAAUCAGAAAGCCACGGCUAACUACGUG
rnacentral:rRNA from 1 species